ACUAUCUCUAAGAAGUUUCAAGUUUAGCUGCUCUGUCACAUGUGUGUCAGUAGGUGGCAGAGAGGAGAAAUGCUGUGUCUAUGCUCAGUGUCUGGCCUAUGAACAUCUGAAUGAUUACUAACCUAAAAUU